GACGAACGCUGGCGGCGUGCUUAACACAUGCAAGUCGAACGGAAAGGCCCUGCUUUUGUGGGGUGCUCGAGUGGCGAACGGGUGAGUAACACGUGAGUAACCUGCCCUUGACUUUGGGAUAACUUCAGGAAACUGGGGCUAAUACCGGAUAGGAGCUCCUGCUGCAUGGUGGGGGUUGGAAAGUUUCGGCGGUUGGGGAUGGACUCGCGGCUUAUCAGCUUGUUGGUGGGGUAGUGGCUUACCAAGGCUUUGACGGGUAGCCGGCCUGAGAGGGUGACCGGCCACAUUGGGACUGAGAUACGGCCCAGACUCCUACGGGAGGCAGCAGUGGGGAAUAUUGCACAAUGGGCGGAAGCCUGAUGCAGCAACGCCGCGUGCGGGAUGACGGCCUUCGGGUUGUAAACCGCUUUCGCCUGUGACGAAGCGUGAGUGACGGUAAUGGGUAAAGAAGCACCGGCUAACUACGUGCCAGCAGCCGCGGUGAUACGUAGGGUGCGAGCGUUGUCCGGAUUUAUUGGGCGUAAAGGGCUCGUAGGUGGUUGAUCGCGUCGGAAGUGUAAUCUUGGGGCUUAACCCUGAGCGUGCUUUCGAUACGGGUUGACUUGAGGAAGGUAGGGGAGAAUGGAAUUCCUGGUGGAGCGGUGGAAUGCGCAGAUAUCAGGAGGAACACCAGUGGCGAAGGCGGUUCUCUGGGCCUUUCCUGACGCUGAGGAGCGGAAGCGUGGGGAGCGAACAGGCUUAGAUACCCUGGUAGUCCACGCUGUAAACGGUGGGUACUAGGUGUGGGGUCCAUUCCACGGGUUCCGUGCCGUAGCUAACGCUUUAAGUACCCCGCCUGGGGAGUACGGCCGCAAGGCUAAAACUCAAAGGAAUUGACGGGGCCCCGCACAAGCGGCGGAGCAUGCGGAUUAAUUCGAUGCAACGCGUAGAACCUUACCUGGGUUUGACAUGGAUCGGGAGCGCUCAGAGAUGGGUGUGCCUCUUUUGGGGUCGGUUCACAGGUGGUGCAUGGCUGUCGUCAGCUCGUGUCGUGAGAUGUUGGGUUAAGUCCCGCAACGAGCGCAACCCUUGUUCACUGUUGCCAGCACGUUAUGGUGGGGACUCAGUGGAGACCGCCGGGGUCAACUCGGAGGAAGGUGGGGAUGACGUCAAGUCAUCAUGCCCCUUAUGUCCAGGGCUUCACGCAUGCUACAAUGGCUGGUACAGAGAGUGGCGAGCCUGUGAGGGUGAGCGAAUCUCGGAAAGCCGGUCUCAGUUCGGAUUGGGGUCCGCAACUCGACCUCAUGAAGUCGGAGUCGCUAGUAAUCGCAGAUCAGCAACGCUGCGGUGAAUACGUUCCCGGG
rnacentral:rRNA from 1 species